AACGCGAAGAACCUUACCAGGCCUUGACAUCCUGCGAACUUUCUAGAGAUAGAUUGGUGCCUUCGGGAGCGCAGUGACAGGUGCUGCAUGGCUGUCGUCAGCUCGUGUCGUGAGAUGUUCGGUUAAGUCCGGCAACGAGCGCAACCCACAUCCUUAGUUGCCAUCAUUCAGUUGGGCACUCUAGGGAAACUGCCCGUGAUAAGCGGGAGGAAGGUGUGGAUGACGUCAAGUCCUCAUGGCCCUUACGGGUUGGGCUACACACGUGCUACAAUGGUAGUGACAAUGGGUUAAUCCCAAAAAGCUAUCUCAGUUCGGAUUGGGGUCUGCAACUCGACCCCAUGAAGUCGGAAUCGCUAGUAAUCGCGUAACAGCAUGACGCGGUGAAUACGUUCCCGGGUCUUGUACACACCG
rnacentral:rRNA from 1 species